UUGUUUCUUCUAAUGUUAUUGUUUUUAGGCCUUAGAAUGUAGCUUUAGUAAUCUAUGGCUUUUGAGUUUUGGAAUGAAAGUUACACUUUUACUAAUAGCUUCAUUUAGUAGUAAAUGUUGUCUAAUUUGGUUAGU